AAAGGCAGUAAUGUCAUAGUCGAGUAGUACUAAUAAUCCGUAAGCUUAUGUACACCUUUUCCCCCGAUGCAAGUCGGGGGAGGAAACUUUCUAAAAUAAUACUUAUUGUGUUUCUUUAUCUCAGUAUGUUAAAAUAUUAGCUCGACGCAGAGCAGUCUUUAAGUCGAAAGAUUAAAGUGAAAAGUCGAAAGACUUUACAGCUUUAUGACCCUGGGCUUUGGACUAAAAACCUUAAGGUGGUUAUUGCGGCGGGGCUCACCUCUUCCCAUCCCGAACAGAGAAGUUAAGCCCGCCUGCGCAGAUGGUACUGCAGUUAUGUGGGAGAGUAUGUCGUCGCCUUUC
rnacentral:rRNA from 1 species